rnacentral:lncRNA from 1 species
GGAGCAUUGAAAGCAUCGCAUAAAUCUUUCUGAGUUUCUCCUCUUCAUCAAAUCCGGAAUACUGUUGCAAGACCUUAGGGUGCAUGAAGAAGAUUAUGCAUCCGGCCUCAUGCUAUUGUCGGCUCCGUUGGCACAAAUCCAUGAGCUCAUCAUCAAGAAGCUAUUGUUCUCGUAUCCGCCCACAACCCACCGCCACCGCCCA